AGCCGAGGGUGCCCGCCCUGCGCCCGCGCACGCGGAGCGGGCUCUUUAAAACUGGAGCAGGCCGCCGGCGAGCCCCGCCCCGGGGCGGCCCCGACACCCGAGCCAGCCGGCGGCCCAGCUUCCAGCCCAGCUGCCCGGGCGCCCGCGGAGCCGAGGAGCCGAGCCGGGGCGGCGGCGGUCGGCAUGGCCCAGGCGUUUGUGAGCAGCAGGCUGCAGCCCGGGAAGGUGGUGGUGUUCGUCAAGCCCACCUGCCCCUACUGCCGAAGGGCCCAGGAGCUGCUCGGCGCGCUGCCCUUCAGGCCGGGGGCUCUGGAGAUUGUCGACAUCACGGCCGCCGGCGACACCGGCAGCAUUCAAGACUAUCUGGAAAAGCUCACGGGCGCCAGGACGGUGCCUCGGGUCUUUAUCGGAAGAGACUGUAUCGGUGGCUGCAGCGAUCUGAUAGAAAUGAAUCAGAGUGGGGAACUGUGCAAGAGGCUACAGCAGAUUGGAGCUCUGCAAUAAUUACAGAUGCUUACUGAGCACUUACUAUGUGCACACAUUGUGUGAGGGACGGAGAGUAGAGGGAUGAGCCAAAUGCUAACACGGAACCUCUGUUCUAGAGAGGUGGACCCACCAAAACCAAAGCAGACCCCAGGAUGAUAUCCCCCUGAGAGCUGGAUGGCAUUUCAAAUGAUAACCACACUUCCUGGCGGAUGGAUCCGGGGCUAACAGCCACAGCAACCAACUGUUUAUUUAAAAUUCUGAAAUAUGUUAACCAAAAAAAAAAGGGGGGGGGGAGUGAUGGGGCUUUGGGCACAAAUAGCUUUUUGUUCUUUUGAUUCAGUAUUAAAAGUAGACCAACUUGCCCCAAACCACAGGUCUGAGAAAGUUGAUGGGUAUCUUAUGUUUCUUCUCGAUUGGCCCUUUGGGUUCCAAAAGACCAUGACAAGCUAUGGCUUGGGAUUCACUCAGUGACCCAAAAGGUGUCCUUUCUCUUUAGCACGUGUCUCUUCGUGACCGCUCUCCAUAUGCUAGGACUCUUCUACCUCAGAGCCAGUGUUUCUCAACCAAGUUUAUCCCAAGUUGAUCAAGUUUAGGAUGAAUCUGUAACUGGUUUUCUGUUACUGCCUGAAAGUUACUUUGUUGAAUUUGACUUUAUAGAAUUUGCAUCAUGAAAGCAACUGGUAUUUUGAUAUGCUUUUUCAAGCUACAUGUUUCUCCCCAGUCAUGAUCCCCACCCCACUCCACCCUAUCUUGAGAAUCAUUGCUCUGAAUCAGUGUUCUUAACCUAGACAACUCAGAGAGCUCCUAGGAAAUGUUCAACAAUUCCAGGAAGGGUCUAGAGGACCCAAUUUGAGAAACACCACAUGAAAAAUUAAGCGCAGUUGGUCUUCACUUGGUGCCACAGAGACAGGGGUAUAAGCACAGCUGCUGCCUUCAUGGGGCAUCUCUCUUAUGCACGGUGGUCAUCCAGGUAAUCCUCAAUAAGUGUGUCUUAACUUGUUUAAAUCAUGAACAAAAGUAAAAUACAACAUCUAAAAUGUUAUCACAGAAAACUUGCAAACCCCUCUCCUUAGAAUACGUCUAUGAAAGUGGCCAUACUUGAGAGGCGUGGUCCUAAAUGAUUUUCUCUCUCUCUCUCUCCUUUUUCCCCCUUCACUCUUAUGGUGCAGUUUGUUCUAGAAAUGCAAUAUUAAUUUUGCUGUUCCUAAUGUGAAUGGUUAAAUGAUGGUGAUUUUUGUCUAUUACUUUUCUAUAUCCUCAAUACCUUAAGGAAUCAUGUUAAUGUGAAGUACACCGCAUUCAAACUGUAUUCAGUCCCCGACCAUUAUAAAUAAAGGCACAUGCUAUUGUCCUUCA